AUAGGCUGAAGUGACACUAAACAAUAUGGCUGAUAGGUAUCCGGUAUUCUGUAGGUGUACCCCUUAAUGUUCAGCUGCAUCUUUAAAGGAAGCAAGAUAAACAAAUGAACAAAUGGCAAACUUUGAUCUUCCACCCUGAAGACAGGACCCCUGCACAGCCUGAUUCAUGCUAUUAAGAUUUGUGGUUAAUGGUGUGUGAAAGUAAGUAGAGAACUUGCCAUUGUUGAUGAAAAA